UACGUAGGGGGCGAGCGUUAUCCGGAUUCAUUGGGCGUAAAGCGCGCGUAGGCGGCCUGUUAGGUCGGGGGUCAAAUACCGGGGCUCAACCCCGGCCCGCCGUUGAAACUGGCAGUCUCGAGUUGGAGAGAAGUAUGCGGAAUGCGCGGUGUAGCGGUGAAAUGCAUAGAUAUCGCGCAGAACUCCGAUUGCGAAGGCAGCAUGCCGGCUCCACACUGACGCUGAGGCACGAAAGCGUGGGUAUCGAACAGG
rnacentral:rRNA from 1 species